UGGGGUUAUUUAGCCUAGAGAAAAGGAGGCUCGGGGGAGACCUUAGUGCUCUCUGCAACUAUCUGGCAGGAGGUUGCAAUGAUGUGGGGUCGGUCUCUUCUCCCAGGCAAUAAGGAUUGGAACAGGCUGCCCAUGAAGGUGGUUGUGACACCAUCCCUAGAGCAACCAGGAAAGUUCCCUGGAAGAAUGCACCUCUGAUGAAUAGCUGCCUGCCCAUCCCUGAAGCUGCAAACAUCCUGAAAGCCCAAUCCAGAAAGACGUUUUUGUAAGGUAUUAUACUUCAGUACAAGGUUUUGGAUUGCUCUGGGACCUUGUAAGAUUUGGCUUUUAAAGAAAACUUUCUGUAUGACAAGGAGGCUCUCACAUGUUCCUCUCUUCAUGUGCUCAGUCAGAGAAAGAAAAAGGAAAUAUAAUCCAGAACAAACCGUUAAAACAGUGACCAGGGGUAUUCUUGGAUCCAACUGCAACCUAAGCUUCAAGGGGCAGCAGGGAUCUGGUGUUUUUCUUUGCAAAGGUUCCACUAGAAUGGAAGUGGUGAGCAUGUGACAAAGCCAAGAGCAGGAAACUGCGGGACUUGAAACUUUAAUAAGCCAUACAGCUUUCUGCAGAGUUCAUUGCUUCUUCUAGGUCCCAGUGGCAGCUACUU